UACGUAGGGGGCAAGCGUUGUCCGGAUUUAUUGGGCGUAAAGAGCGUGUAGGCGGCCAUGCAGGUCCGUUGUGAAAACUCGAGGCUCAACCUCGAGCUGUCGAUGGAAACCGUAUGGCUAGAGUCCGGAAGAGGAGAGUGGAAUUCCUGGUGUAGCGGUGAAAUGCGCAGAUAUCAGGAAGAACACCCGUGGCGAAGGCGGCUCUCUGGGACGGUACUGACGCUGAGACGCGAAAGCGUGGGGAGCAAACAGG
rnacentral:rRNA from 1 species